GAAAAGGCACAGCAUUUCGGCCUUGUCCAAGCCUACCCACAGUUGACCUAGAAAGGAUAUGUUCUAAGUUCCCAGGGACCAACCACGUCUUCAUGGAGGGCAGCACCUCCAGAGGCUACACUCACUCAGCAGCUCCAGUGCUGAUCCUCCCACAGCUCAGUCACUUGUGACACAAAGACCUCCCUGGAAGUAGGGGCCGCUGACAACGUGGGGAAGAGUAAGGAGAAGAGGAAGAGCCGCAGGGAAUGGGGCCAAAGCAGCCUGAGUGGGAGUCUGCCUCGUGCUUGCCAACUCCUGAUCGGCUCUCGGGUGUUUGCUCAUCACUCUGCAGGGCCGUGAGAGCUGUCACCGCGUGUCCAUGCCCUCCAUGCCAGUGAGCUGGAGUCACAGCCACAGGACUUCAUGAAUCCUCCUGAUCUCUGCAUUCAUUUCUUGGCUCUAAAUCAUUUGACACAAUCACAAAAUCUGCCAAGAUGUCAGCAACCGUUCUGUGUUGUUCUACGAAUACACACACCUGUGGUGUCACCAACAACUACAGCUCAUUAAGAAAGGAAAAGAAAGGCCCGCCUGGUACAGGGCCACAUUCUACCAGAACAUCAAAUGAACCUUUGUUAAAAAUCUUCUCCUCUCUGGCAGGCAGAAGGAAUCCAAACACAGCAACUGCCACUCCAGGUGCCGGGGUUUCUGAAGGCCACACUGGACAGAAGAGGGAAUCACCUGAGUUUGGGAAGAUACAUGAAAGCAGUUAGGGGAACCAAGAGAGCAAAGCAACUCAAGAUGGUUCAACAGGAGGUCAGAUGGCUCACUGUGCACAGAAUAAGAAGAAAAUGUGGAAAUCUGUGGCCCUGACCCUAGGAGAAGAAACAUUAGAUCAGCCUCCGAUCCUCACUCCUCCUGAGCUUCCCUGCCUUCCAUUUGUCUGGGGGAUCUGUGUCCAGAGGUCCAACCAAUCAUAGAGAAGGUCUCAGGGGUGGGGCUGCAUCAGCACUGCACAGGCGACAAAGAAAAUAUUAACAGGUGACUCAGUUAUGCAAAGAAUAACAGAAGUGCAGCGCAGCGUUCCAGAUAAGAAGUAAAACUCAGCUGUGAGAAAAGCAAACUCAAGGGCGGUCUCCAAGCUGUCCGAACUAAGAACCAGAAAUAUAAACAUUGUGUUGCUAGAAAUAAAAUGUGGCAUCCAGAAGUCUGGAAGUAGA